rnacentral:rRNA from 1 species
GCUUGACCUCCAAAUCAGGUAGGAUUACCCCUGAAC